rnacentral:lncRNA from 1 species
GGGUAAUUCUAUCUUUGUUGUUUGCGGUGUCAGUGAAAUUGUUUUUAUAUGGCAGAUUUGUAAUAGCAAAACAGCACUGGCCUUGCUGAGAGGUCAACCCAAGUUCAAAUCCAUGACUCCAAUAAUUACUAACUUAUGAACUUGGGCAAGUUGAGUAAACUGUCUGUGUCUUGGUUCCCUAAUUGACAGAGAGUUAGAUAGAAAUGUGUGGGGCUGUUAUGAAGCUUACUUGAGAUACUGAACAUGAGAAUUCUUGGUUCUAAGAGGGACUCAAUAAAUGUUUAGUUGAAGUGGACAUGAAAAGAGGGGAUCUUCAGUCUUGAUAAGAUCCUACUUGGGAUGCCCAGUUCCUGGACAAGAGCUGUGGUCCCCAUGCUGCUGGGCAGCCAAAGCCCAAACCUGUGCCUGCCUCCUUUCACUGUGCAGACAGUAGGCACCAUGCCAGCAGCUCCAUGCAGAGCUGCACUGGGUCUCCGUCCCUAGGUUGGAGGAAUAAGAAGAGUCACGACCAUCUGCACAGCACUGAAAAGAUUUCCUGAUGCGUCCAUAAAUAUAUAUCUCAUGUACGUCUUGAGCAUUCAGCAAAGGCUUCUCAGAAAAUCUGAAAUUUAAUCUGAGACUUAAAGGAUGAGAAGGAACUAGCUAUGUAAAGAUGAGGAGCGGAGAACUCCAGCAGAAGGAACAGCCAAGGUAGAGUCUCAGAGCUGGGACCAGCUUGAUGCUUUUAAUAAGAGAACAUGAAGACAGAUCCUUCAGGAGCCCCUGCCUAAAGGACGGGGGCAGGAGAGUCACUCAAAGAGGAGAUGACAAAUAUUUCCUCAGAUCCAAGCAACUGAACAGAGCCAGGAACUAAUCCAAAGGAGGCCUUCACAGAGUCCUGCCUACCCACUAAAGCAGAGUGUGGCAGGGUUGGUGUGAGCUGGAGGAGGUGUUGAUGUUGCAAGUCAACUUGUGCUGUAGCCUCAGUCCUACUUUCAGGCAUGAAGGCCCAGGAGGUAGAGAGCGCUGUACUCUCAACAUGUCCAAACACAGACCCAUGCAGGGGACCCCCAGAUCUGAGCCUCUCGCCAUGGUCUAUGUCUCAGUGAGUGGUAUUAGUAUCCAUCCAAUCACGAAGGAAUGAAACCAAAACAUGACUCAUGACCUCACCCUCUUCCUCACCCUCAGUAAUAGGUCCACCAAAUCAUGUCAGUGAUGAACAUCUUCAAACCUUCUUUCUUUUCUUCUUUCUGCCACCACCACAGCUGCACAGUGCCACACUGCCUCCCUCCCAGACUACAGCAGUAGCUUUCUAACUGUUCCCUUCACACCCAUCCCAGCCUGUCUCAGUCCCCUCCCAACCCAGCCACCAGAAUGAUCUUUCCAUCUGUAGAGAUGUACAGAGUUUGGCGCAGCAACUCUCUUCACGUAAGAGGAAUUUUUUGAAAAGUCUCUGGGGGUUGACGCUUAGAUCCUAAGAGCCCUCAAGUGUCGGGUGGAGGUGAGAAGGAUUUGCUGGUUGUGCUAUAAGUUGGAAAAGAAAAAGAAAGGGUGGAAGGGGAGGUGAUGUGAGGCCAUGUGGUUGUGAUAGGUCCCCCAGCAUCCCCCACACUGACCUUCAGUAAAAAACUCAGAAAAUAACAAAAUGCUUAACGAAACCUGAUUUCCCAUGGGAAUCAGUGAAAGGCCUGGGCUUUGGGUCUAGACCAAUAGUGAGCGGAGACAGAGACAGUGGCUUAGGGAUGGCAGAGUGUGGAUUGGGAAGGAGGCAGGUGUGGGGAGGCUCCGAAGCAGCACACACAGAUGCAGAUAGGACAGAACUGUAGGAGGCUCUUAAAACUGGAGGAGGGCUUUGACUGUUUCAGUUCUGAGGAAUCUAGGUGCAGGCCAAGAUUAACCAGUCCUGAUGGGGGUCCCAGUUGGCAUCUGAAUUACACGUCUAUAUGAUAAUAAUAUGAAUAGACACCAUUUAUUCAGCAGUGUGCUAUGGUUUUUUUUAUAUGUAGUAUCUCAUUUGAUUCUAUUUUCAUAAAAACUGCAAGGGGUAAGUAUUAUUAUUGCCUUACUUUACGAGGUUCCAUCCUGUUAUAAUCUAAGUUCGUUUUCUCUCCAUUUUUAAGAUAAACAAUAACUGUAGGGCGGCAUAAAGUUCCCUGAACCACACAACAAAGAAAGUUAAAAGAUGCAAAAGGUAAUCACCGAAAAGGAAACUGAAGUGCAGAGACCCUGGCAGCCUGGCUCCUGAGCCUAUGCUCUUGGCCACUGUAUGUUCUCAAUCUCUCUUCCCUCCCCUCCUCUUCCCUCCUUUCUUAUCUUCUUCCAUCUAUCCACUCAUCCAUCCAUCCAUCCAUCAAGCCUCCAUCCAUCUAUCCAACUAUAUUUCUGACCAUAUCUCUCUCUAUAUAUACAUAGUUGGAGGUAGAUAUAGAUAUAGAUAUAGAUAUAGAUAUAGAUAUAGAUAUAGCUAUCUAAGUUGACAUGCCAGAGGCCAUGUCAGCUUAGAAGUCCCACAGCAACCUCAAACUCAGUAUGCCCCAAACCGAACCUCCCGUCUUCCUGGUCCUACAUGUAUAUAUAUAUACAUAUAUAUAUAUGUGUGUGUGUUUAUUUCUGACCAUAGAUAUAGAUAGGUAGAUAGAAAGAAAGGAAGAAACAUAUGUAUCUCCAACUAUAGAGAUAAUUCCUCUUUAGGUGGGAGGUUGAAUUACAGAACCUAAAAGUUUCCUUUCCGUUCUCAAGUUCUCUGAGGUUUAGUUUAUUUUAGACUAUAUUUUGAUUAUUUUUGGCAGGUGUUUAUCUUCCUAACUUGUUUGGAUUUACCGAAACAUACAUUUCAGGGCUAGCAUGGAUCUAGGAGAAAGACCAAGUCCCUCAUGUUGAGAGUGAGAAGAAGUGACCCACUAAAUCUCACCUGGUCCAGGCCUCUGCCUGUUUCACAUUAUUUUGAAUUCUGGAUACGUGGCAAGUGGUGAUAAGGACAACAAUCCAACUAGGUAAUGAGUAAGAGAGAGUGACAGCCUGGAAUUAGAGUGUAAUCUGUUUUUACCACAUGUGUAUGCUAACAGUCAGUGAUGAUUGUGACAGUGGUCAUGACUCCAGCAAUUCACAGGUCCCUACACCUGAAGAGAUUUAGAGACCUCAUCCAAUGUACUUCUUGCCUCCUGAUAACUAAUGCCUGAUUCAUUCCAGAGAUGAACAAAUUUAAAAGAACGUGCUAUUUAAAAUAAAAAAAAGGAAUUUUAAAACCUUUUCUAGCUUUUAUUUCUUUCUGAGGAGUUCCCUCCUGUUAUAUGCUUAUUUUUUUUACCUUCAUUUUAAAAAUAAAUAACUGUAGAACAGCAUAUAGUUCUCUGAACCACACAGCAAAAGAAAGUAAAAGGAAGCAAAAAGAAGCUUGCUCUAUGGUCAUGGGCAGUAAGAGACUGAUGAUACAGGAGAAGUUGGAUUUGAGGAUAUGAAAGCUGGAAACAGCUGGUUCAGGCUGCACCGGAACACACACAUUACACCCAUGCCAAUUGCUGUCUUUUCAAACUCCAGGAAGCCUGGCAUGGGUGAAGCUGAGUCACGUGGAGGCUGUGCCGAAGCCUGGUUGUGCCGUAAGUUUUGUGUGCAGCAGGCUCUAUCUUUCUCUCAGAAGUGAGUUGGGUGAGCCCUUGGUAUCCAACCCUCCCUACAGUCACCUCCUUUGAGAAGAAAAAAAUAAGACCCAGAAGGUGAAGACUCUGAGGUUCAGAAAGUUAAAGUGAUAUCGCCAG